rnacentral:rRNA from 1 species
AUUGAACGCUGGCGGCAUGCCUUACACAUGCAAGUCGAACGGCAGCACGGGAGCAAUCCUGGUGGCGAGUGGCGAACGGGUGAGUAAUAUAUCGGAACGUGCCCAGUCGUGGGGGAUAACGUAGCGAAAGCUACGCUAAUACCGCAUACGAUCUAUGGAUGAAAGCGGGGGAUCGCAAGACCUCGCGCGAUUGGAGCGGCCGAUAUCAGAUUAGGUAGUUGGUGAGGGAAAGGCUCACCAAGCCGACGAUCUGUAGCUGGUCUGAGAGGACGACCAGCCACACGGGGACUGAGACACGGCCCAGACUCCUACGGGAGGCAGCAGUGGGGAAUUUUGGACAAUGGGCGCAAGCCUGAUCCAGCAAUGCCGCGUGCAGGAUGAAGGCCUUCGGGUUGUAAACUGCUUUUGUACGGAGCGAAAAGGCUUCCACUAAUACUGGGAGCUCAUGACGGUACCGUAAGAAUAAGCACCGGCUAACUACGUGCCAGCAGCCGCCGUAAUAC